rnacentral:rRNA from 1 species
UACAGAGGGUGCCAGCGUUGUUCGGAAUUAUUGGGCGUAAAGGGCGCGUAGGCGGCUCUGUGUGUCGGGUGUGAAAUCCCACCUCUUAAAGGUGGAAUUGCAUUCGAAACUACAGAGCUGGAGUUCCGGAGAGGAUGGUGGAAUUCCUGGUGUAAAGGUGAAAUUCGUAGAUAUCAGGAGGAACACCGGUGGCGAAGGCGGCCAUCUGGACGGAUACUGACGCUGAGGCGCGAAAGCGUGGGGAUCAAACAGG